rnacentral:rRNA from 1 species
UACGGGGGGGGCAAGCGUUGUUCGGAAUUACUGGGCGUAAAGGGCUCGUAGGUGGCCAACUAAGUCAGACGUGAAAUCCCUCGGCUUAACCGGGGAACUGCGUCUGAUACUGGAUGGCUAGAGUUUGGGAGAGGGAUGCGGAAUUCCGGUGGAGCGGUGAAAUGCGUAGAUAUCGGAAGGAACACCGGUGGCGAAAGCGGCGCUCUGGCCCUCUUCUGACGCUGAGGCGCGAAAGCCAGGGGAGCAAACGGG